rnacentral:rRNA from 1 species
GAUGAACGCUGGCGGCGUGCCUAAUACAUGCCAGUCGAGCGAACGGACGAGAAGCUUGCUUCUCUGAUGUUAGCGGCGGACGGGUGAGUAACACGUGGAUAACCUACCUAUAAGACUGGGAUAACUUCGGGAAACCGGAGCUAAUACCGGAUGAUAUUUUGAACCGCAUGGUUCAAAAGUGAAAGACGGUCUUGCUGUCACUUAUAGAUGGAUCCGCGCUGCAUUAGCUAGUUGGUAAGGUAACGGCUUACCAAGGCAACGAUGCAUAGCCGACCUGAGAGGGUGAUCGGCCACACUGGAACUGAGACACGGUCCAGACUCCUACGGGAGGCAGCAGUAGGGAAUCUUCCGCAAUGGGCGAAAGCCUGACGGAGCAACGCCGCGUGAGUGAUGAAGGUCUUCGGAUCGUAAAACUCUGUUAUUAGGGAAGAACAUAUGUGUAAGUAACUGUGCACAUCUUGACGGUACCUAAUCAGAAAGCCACGGCUAACUACGCG